rnacentral:rRNA from 1 species
AACAAACGCUGGCGGCAGGCCUAACACAUGCAAGUCGAGCGCGCCCUUCGGGGUGAGCGGCGGACGGGUGAGUAACGCGUGGGAACGUGCCCUUUUCUACGGAAUAGCCUCGGGAAACUGAGAGUAAUACCGUAUACGCCCUUUGGGGGAAAGAUUUAUCGGAAAAGGAUCGGCCCGCGUUGGAUUAGGUAGUUGGUGGGGUAAUGGCCUACCAAGCCGACGAUCCAUAGCUGGUUUGAGAGGAUGAUCAGCCACACUGGGACUGAGACACGGCCCAGACUCCUACGGGAAGCAGCAGUGGGGAAUCUUAGACAAUGGGGGCAACCCUGAUCUAGCCAUGCCGCGUGAGUGAUGAAGGCCUUAGGGUUGUAAAGCUCUUUCAGCUGGGAAGAUAAUGACGGUACCAGCAGAAGAAGCCCCGGCUAACUCCGUG